GUCACCCUUCUAAGCUGGAGCAGGAGAAAGCUUGCCUAAGAAAUUAUGUCCAAACCUGAAUCACACAAUGAGUCUUGACUGUUUCUCUAAGGGGUAUCGGUCCAGAGUUCCGUAGUUGGGGGUUUCUGCUGGGGCUGUGUGGAAGCAUAUUAUUUGAGCUAUUUGUAUCUCAUUAUUGAGAGAAGUUUGUCUGCUGCUCUGGGUUGUAGGCUUGGAGACUACCUCUUCACAGCUCACAUGGGCAGAUUUCCUAUUCCUCUUGUCCUUAGGAAUACUUCGUAAGACAGAAUGAUGACUGUCCAGGUUUUUCAGAGCCCUGCGCAGUGGGGAGAGCCUGCCUUGUCUUUUUGCUACCAUUGUACGCAGGACUGCUUUGUCUCAGCCGACAGAACCAGCAAGUCAGAAAGGAAGGGAGACUUUUGGAUCAGAACAGAUGAUUGAAAUGGAGACUGGAAACCCCUGAUCAUGUUGAAAGACACCGGAUCCGACUCUGGAAAUAACUAGCACAAAAUCAGAUUCCAUAAUCAUGAAAGAAACACCUGUGGGGCGCCAAGCAUCUCUCUUUGCAGAUAUAAGAUCACCGCCCUGGAGCAAGGGGAGAAGGCCACCUUUACUGGGUCCUGUAUAGGGCACUGCCUUAGCUGAGUUUCCUUCCUGCUCUGUGAGACAGAGAGAGUAUCAGACCCCACAAGAAGCUGCAUAACCCCCCUCCCCCUGCUUUCUCGGAGCCUGGGUCCACCCAGGUCUGACUGACUCCAAAGCAAGACUUGUUUACAGCAUGGAUAUGAUCCAACGGGUGGGAGAGACUGGUCAACAUUGAAAUCCAGAUGCAAUAAUAAAGCCUCAACCAAGCGCUGCAGGCAGCUGGAGGAGGCGACGCAACAAUACAGAUGGUCACAGAGGCCACCCCUCAUCUCCAAUAUCCUUUUCCAAAACGAGUAUGAGCGGCUCUACAAGCUUAUGGGAGCUAUACCUAAGCUGCUUAGAGAGCCGCUCAUACUACUGGGCACCGAGGACUCUAAUUACUCGGCCAGUAUUUCCCCCUGCACUCUAAACAAAACCACGGUCUUCUACCUCUUUCCCACGAAGCCCCUCAGACUGAGACACCACGGAGGUCACCACUCGCCUUCAGGAGCUGGCUGGUCACUAGCUCCUGCAUGUGCAGUCUCUCUCUCUCUCCCUCUCCUCAAAAAUAAAUUAGUUAAUUUACAAAAAGAAAUAUUGCAGUUAGAAGUUUGCUUCAGAAGACCCACCACACACACACACACACACACACACACACACACGCACGCACCUCAAUCUACACCUCAUCUUUUAAAAUCAAAACUACAUUUCUUCAAGUGUUAG
rnacentral:lncRNA from 1 species